CAUUUAAUGACCUAACAUUUUAUUAUUUUUGGUACAUACAGUAGCACGUUAUUCAUACAACUUAGGGCUGUUAUUUACAAAUACAAAUAAUCAACUUACAUAAAUAUUGUUAUAACGUUUAGAAAAAAAAACAUAUUUAGGUUUUGGUAGUCCAACUAAGCACAUGUCCCAGUGGUUUAGUAGCAUCUCUUCUGAAAUAAAUCCCACCAUGUCUGGCACACCAUUCACGGUACUGACCACAUUUAUUCGACCGCGUUCCUGCUGAAAGUGCUUGGAGAAUUCACGGUACUGACCACAUUUAUUCGACCGCGUUCCUGCUGAAAAUGCUUGGAGAUUUUCGUAAUGGUUUUCUCGAGGACGAGUGUUAUUUGGAUCCUUCGGAAGCCGGUAAAAGAGAUUACAAUAAUACGUUGUUCUUUCUUUAGCCGAGACGAAGAAAAAAAUAUGAUAACGGCCAGGUUGUAUAUUUAUUUGUCCAUGAUUAAUGGAUGGGUUGUAAGAUUGACACUUGACAUGUAAAAUAUUAUCUUUACCGAGUUCGUUUUUGAAUACUAAACGACUUUCGGCGCAAGCUUCACUCGAUCCAAAACAUAUAGUAAUAACAAACAGAAACACUAUGAAAUUAUUCAUUUUUUUUUGUGAG
rnacentral:lncRNA from 1 species